ACUCCUACGGGAGGCAGCAGUGGGAAUAUUGCACAAUGGGGAAGCCCAUCGAUGCAGCCAUGCCGCGCUGUGUGAAGAAGGCCAAUUCGGGCUUGGUUAAAGACACUUUUCAGCGAGGAGGAAAGGGUGUGUGCUAAUACCAUACAUCUGUGACGUUACUCGCAGAAGAAGCACCGGCUAACUCCGUGCCAGCAGCCGCGGUAAUACGGAGGGUGCGAGCGUUAAUCGGAAUUACUGGGCGUAAAGCGCAUGCAGGCGGCCUGUUAAGUCAGAUGUGAAAGCCCGGGCUUAAGCCUCGGAAUUGCAUUUGAAACUGGACAGGCUAGAGUCUUGUAGAGGGGGUG
rnacentral:rRNA from 1 species